CUGAGCCACACAGGCAUCCUCGCACAUCUCUACUUGGACUGGCCACAUUUUCAGUGCUCAGUGGACAUGAAGCAGAACAGAGCAGUACUGUGUUGGGUACUGAGGACAUACAGAAGGGGACAAAAUGGACAAGGCCUCUGUACUUACAUCAGGCUAGCCCAGGCCUGCUCUCCUUGUGGAGGCAGGGAUCCAAGAAAGAAUGUGGAAUCAUUCAAGUUUUCGUAAGACUCAAGCUCAGAGCUUUAUCUCUUCUGCCAUGUUCUUUGGGCCAACCCAAGUUACAAGUUACAGCCCAGAUUCUUCCAGGAGCUGCAAAGUCACACUACAAAAGGUGUGCAUACAGGGAGGGAUGGAAAAUUCAGGUGAUUUUUGUGAUUGAUCUUCUGUAUUACUUAAAAAGCUUUCAAUUCCACCAGGAAGUUAUAAAAAAAAUUCCAAAUUUCUAUGUGCCCAAUAAAAUAUA